GGGCGAACGAAACCGAAAGGCAAAGAAAAUCUAUCAGCAGCAGAAUUGCAUUUUCGAAGGAAAGAAGAGGAGAAGAUGGCUGUGGUUACCUGUCAGUCUUCCGGUGCUGGCGAAGAAGGCAACAACUAAAAAAGGAUAGACAACGCGUUCUCGCAGCCUUACAGUUUGCUACCGGUUCUCAGAAAAAAGGGGGAGAUGUGGGAG